GAUGAACGCUGGCGGCGUGCUUAACACAUGCAAGUCGAACGGUGAAAGUGGGAGCUUGCUCCUACUGGAUCAGUGGCGAACGGGUGAGUAACACGUGAGUAACCUGCCCCAGACUCUGGGAUAAGCGUUGGAAACGACGUCUAAUACCGGAUACGAGACGAGAAGGCAUCUUCAUCGCCUGGAAAGAAUUUCGGUCUGGGAUGGACUCGCGGCCUAUCAGCUAGUUGGUGAGGUAAUGGCUCACCAAGGCGACGACGGGUAGCCGGCCUGAGAGGGUAACCGGCCACACUGGGACUGAGACACGGCCCAGACUCCUACGGGAGGCAGCAGUGGGGAAUAUUGCACAAUGGGCGAAAGCCUGAUGCAGCAACGCCGCGUGAGGGACGACGGCCUUCGGGUUGUAAACCUCUUUUAGCAGGGAAGAAGCGAAAGUGACGGUACCUGCAGAAAAAGCACCGGCUAACUACGUGCCAGCCGCCGCCGUAACAC
rnacentral:rRNA from 1 species